AUUCCAGCUCUAAUAGCGUAUAUUAAUGUUGUUGCAGUUAAAAAGCUCGUAGUUGGAUUUUGGUGUUUGACAAACGGUCGGCCUUACGGUUUGUACUGUUUGUUGGCACUUCUUUUCUGGGGAACUCACUGUUCUUAAUUGAAGGGUGUUGUAACGCAGAUCGUUUACUUUGAAAAAAUUAGAGUGUUCAAAGCAGGCCAACGCAUUGAAUACAUUAGCAUGGAAUAAUGGAAUAGGACUUUGGUCUUAUUUUGUUGGUUUCUAAGGCCGAGGUAAUGAUUAAUAGGGAUAGUUGGGGGCGUUUAUAUUCCGUUGUCAGAGGUGAAAUUCUUGGAUUUACGGAAGAUAAACUACUGCGAAAGCAUUCGCCAAGGAUGUUUUCAUCA
rnacentral:rRNA from 1 species